CACGUAGGUGGCGAGCGUUAUCCGGAUUUACUGGGCGUAAAGCGUGUGCAGACGGAGCAGCAAGUGGUGUAUGAAAUCGCGGUGCUUAACACAGCGAGGUUAUGCCAGACUGCUGGACUAGAGUGCGAGAGAGGGAGAUGGAAUUCCGGGUGUAGUGGUGAAAUGCGUAGAUAUCUGGAGGAACACCGGUGGCGAAGACGGCAUCCUGGACCGAGAUUGACGCUGAGGCGCGAAAGCCAGGGGAGCAAACGGG
rnacentral:rRNA from 1 species